rnacentral:tRNA from 1 species
GGACAAUUAGCUCAGUUGGUUAGAGCGCUGCAUUCACAUUGCAGAGGUCGAAGGUUCGAGUCCUUCAUUGUCCA